rnacentral:rRNA from 1 species
UACGUAGGGUGCGAGCGUUGUCCGGAAUCAUUGGGCGUAAAGAGCGUGUAGGCGGUCCGGUAAGUCCGCUGUGAAAGUCGGGGGCUCAACCCUCGAAUGCCGGUGGAUACUGUCGGGCUAGAGUGCGGAAGAGGCGAGUGGAAUUCCUGGUGUAGAGGUGAAAUUCGUAGAUAUCAGGAGGAACACCAGUGGCGAAGGCGCUUUCUGGACGGUAACUGACGCUGAGACGCGAAAGCGUGGGGAGCAAACAGG